UACGUAGGGUGCGAGCGUUAAUCGGAAUUACUGGGCGUAAAGCGUGCGCAGGCGGUUCUGAAAGUCAGCUGUGAAAGCCCCGGGCUUAACCUGGGAACGGCGGUUGAAACUACAGGACUAGAAUCUGGCAGAGGGGGGUGGAAUUCCACGUGUAGCAGUGAAAUGCGUAGAGAUGUGGAGGAGCACCGAUGGCGAAGGCAGCCCCCUGGGCUGAGAUUGACGCUCAGGCACGAAAGCGUGGGGAGCAAACAGG
rnacentral:rRNA from 1 species